CCUACGGGUGGCAGCAGUGGGGAAUAUUGCACAAUGGGCGCAAGCCUGAUGCAGCGACGCCGCGUGCGGGAUGGAGGCCUUCGGGUUGUAAACCGCUUUUGUUCAAGGGCAAGGCACGGUCUUUGGCCGUGUUGAGUGGAUUGUUCGAAUAAGCACCGGCUAACUACGUGCCAGCAGCCGCGGUAAUACGUAGGGUGCACGCGUUAGCCGGAUUUAUUGGGCGUAAAGGGCGCGUAGGCGGUGCGGCGAGUCCGGUGUGAAAGUCCAUCGCUUAACGGUGGUGCCGCGCCGGGUACGGGCGGGCUUGAGUUCGGUAGGGGAGACUGGAAUUCCCUGUGUACCUGU
rnacentral:rRNA from 1 species